UCGCGAAAGCCGUUUCGUCCGCCGGCGCCUGCUGUGCCAAGGCCGCCGCACUGGCGCUCUUCAGGUGAUCCUGGAGAGGGAGAGGGAGAGGGUAGAAGCACGAGGCCGUUCGAUGUUUUCCACCUGCUUCGUGUGUUGAGUAGCAUGUUUGUUUAAGAACCAGUGUAUACUAUUACAUCUCCUCAUUAAGUUUAUUUUAAAUAAUUUGUGUACAAAUUUUGUAUUUUUUAAAGCAUAGAGUUGCACAGUUCGAAUGUUAUUUAAGUGCAUAAAGAAACUGAUUUUGGCACAUUAGUUUUCCCGUAUAGUUAAUACAAUCUCCUGAAGUCAGUAUUUGUUUACUUGCCACGGAAAGUCAUAUCCCUCCUAGAGGAAGUCAUAUUCAUCACGUCUUUUGGAACUGAAGUAGAAGCUUUUUACACUGUGUUAAUAAAAAAAAUAUGUUUUUUAUUUAUGAAAAUACAUAUUUCACAAAGGGUCGUCCUUUCAUCGACAGAAAGUCAUAUCCCUCCCAGAGGAAGUCAUAUUCGUCAGGUCUUUUGGAACUGAAGUAGAAGCAAAAUUUUACACUGUGUUAAUAAAAAAAAUAUGUUUUUUAUUUAUGAAAAAACAUAUUUCACAAAGGGUCGUCCUUUCAUCGACAAAAAGUCAUAUCCCUCCCAGAGGAAGUCAUAUUCAUCACGUCUUUUGGAACUGAAGUAGAAGCUUUUUACACUGUGUUAAUAAAAAAAUUAUGUUUUUUAUUUAUGAAAAUACAUAUUUCACAAAGGGUCGUCCUUUCAUCGACAGAAAGUCAUAUCCCUCCCAAAGGAAGUCAUAUUCGUCAGGUUUUUUUGAACUUAGAAAC
rnacentral:lncRNA from 1 species